rnacentral:lncRNA from 1 species
CUCAGGAGGCUGAAGCAGAAGGAUCAAGAGUUUGAGGCCAGCCUCAGCAACUUAGCAAGACAUGUCUCAAAAUAAAAUAUAAAAAGGGCUGGGGAUCUAGCUCAGUGGUAGUUCAAUCUCCAGUUCCACCCAUCUCCCCCAUCCCCCAAAAAGAAAGAAAGAAAAGUAAGAAAGAAAGUAGCAUGGGUCCUGUGGGAAACGGGAGGGGAGUCAGGAUGGAGGUAGUCAUCGUGUGACGUGAUGUACACUACAAGACUUUUCACCAGGACACAGGGGCAAGAGCUGCUGAGAAGCCACCAGGGACCGUGGCAGGGGACCAGGGCUGUCUGGUCUGAGGCAAGGGGACUGGCCUCACCUGGGAAGGACAGCCAGGGCAAAGACUCAGAAGUGUGCAAAGCUGGUUCCUUCAAGAAAGCAUAAGUGCCUCAGCAGCACAGAAGCUGGGGUGCCCACGACCCAGCGGGAGGGCAGUCACUGCGCUGGCCUGGUGGCCCGUAGGGCCCUCCUCCUCUUGCUCAGCAGACUCCCACUCAGUUCCCAGGAGCCUGUGGGCUGCCACAGAGGUCACAUCAUGGGGAAGGAACAAGAGCUGUGCAACCAGACCAACUUGCCCCCACCCGUCCUCUAUCCCACCUUGGGCAAGUCCCUGUCUCCUUGCUGAACCUCAGUUUCUCCAUCUGUAAAAUGGCAGAACCACAAUACCCACCUCAGAAGGGUGCCAUGGGCAGGAAGGAGGUGAGUAAAAUAGAGUUCCUGCUCCAUGAAGCUUGCAUUCCAGUGGAGGAGACCGAUGGUGGGCCUAAAAAGAAAAAAAAAAGGGAAUUGUUCACUGCUCUAUUCCCAGUACCUAGGAUGCCUAGCACAU